AAAAACAAUAAUAAAGAGUUUGACAAAUAUAAAUCUGGCACCAUGUAAUCUUUAACCAUCUCAAGAAUGUGACAGUGUAACUUAUCUCAUUCAAAAGAUGAAUGCUCCACUUUGUGGGUCCAAAAAAUCCUCCCACAAGAAUGGAACCUAUAGUAACUCUUCUAGACACUUGCCUCAACAUAAAAUGCAAGGAAGAAAUUCCCAAGAGAACUUCAAGAGCAGCAUUAAGAGCAGUCUUCAUAGCUCCUGUGAUUUCAAAUAGACCAACCUUUGAAUGUUUUCAAAUUCAGACCUACAAAUCUGAAAAGCUCUUUGCUACCAAAUAAUGGCAGUAUAAGUAUUGUAUAUUCAGUAUAGCAAUUCUAGUUAAGUUCCCAAGUUUUACUAAAAAUGUCUGUACAAAUCCAUAGGGCUUUACAGGCCUCAAACAUGAUUCAUAUGUAGUUUCCAAGUCAAUCUCUUAUCUAACAUAACUCCAAGGAAGAAAAAUAUAAUCUUUUGCUAAAGAGUGAUGAUUUGAAGAUCCAUCAACUGCCUUCUUCAUGUAAAAGGUACAACUACAGUCUUUGAUGGAUUUACAGUUAAACCAACCAUGUCACAUCAUUUAGAAACUAUUGAGAGCUGUCUGAAGUACCUUAGAUACAGUCUUGGGAAACUUUCCUAUCACAAUGACAGCUU
rnacentral:lncRNA from 1 species